AACCACAUCAAAAGGAACCACGAAAAAUGUGCUAUACUUGACAAACUUUAAAAGUAUUAAUGAAGAAACAGGAAUUCAUCCUGAAGUAUCUUUGGAAAAUUAUGCACAGCCAACCACAUCUAAGGGAUCCACCAAAAAUGUCCUAUACUUGACAAACUUUGAAAGUAUUAAUGAAGAAACAGGAAUUCAUCCUGAAGUAUCUUUGGAAAAUUAUGCACAGCCAACCACAUCUAAGGGAUCCACCAAAAAUGUCCUAUACUUGACAAACUUUGAAAGGAAUAAUGCAGAAAAAGGAAUUAAUCCUGAAGUAUCUACUGAAAACUAUGCACAGCCAACCACAUCAAAAGGAACCACGAAAAAUGUGCUAUACUUGACAAACUUUAAAAGUAUUAAUGAAGAAACAGGAAUUCAUCCUGAAGUAUCUUUGGAAAAUUAUGCACAGCCAACCACAUCUAAGGGAUCCACCAAAAAUGUCCUAUACUUGACAAACUUUGAAAGGAAUAAUGCAGAAAAAGGAAUUAAUCCUGAAGUAUCUACUGAAAACUAUGCACAGCCAACCACAUCAAAAGGAACCACGAAAAAUGUGCUAUACUUGACAAACUUUAAAAG